UGGGGAAUAUUGGACAAUGGGCGCAAGCCUGAUCCAGCCAUGCCGCGUGAGUGAUGAAGGCCUUAGGGUUGUAAAGCUCUUUUACCAGGGAAGAUGAUGACGGUACCUGGAGAAUAAGCACCGGCUAACUUCGUGCCAGCAGCCGCGGUAAUACGAAGGGUGCUAGCGUUGUUCGGAAUUACUGGGCGUAAAGCGCGCGUAGGCGGCUUUUUAAGUCAGGGGUGAAAUCCUUGGGCUCAACCCAAGAAUUGCCCUUGAAACUGAAAAGCUUGAGUGUCGGAGGGGAUAGCGGAAUUCCUAAUGUAGAGGUGAAAUUCGUAGAUAUUAGGAGGAACACCGGUGGCGAAGGCGGCUAUCUGGACGACAACUGACGCUGAGGCGCGAAAGCGCGGGGAUCAAACA
rnacentral:rRNA from 1 species